AGGUGGAAUGAUGCAACAAAUGAGUGAAUGGAGGGAACAUGUAUAAUGAUGCACGGCAUAGGAAUCCAAAGGGAGUGCAAUGGUGGUGCACGGCAAUGAUGGAAAGGUGAAUGGUGGAGUGACACCCCUUUGUGGCUGAGUUCUUUGUCCUUUUUACAUUAAUUCUUCUUUCUCUUUAACACAUUCCUAGCCUCUUUAGUCUUCAAUUUCGUCCAUCCACCUUGUUCCAUGCAUGUGCUAUUCAUUCCAAGCCCAAAACUGCUCCAAAAUGCACCAAACUGCAUCUUAUUGCUUCAUAAGGCCUAUGGACCUACAAACACACGAAAAUAGCUUAAAAUAAAUAAUUAACUAAGAAAUAACAACAUAAAUGCAUGAGAACAAGCUAACUCAGUCACAUAAAUAUGCUCCUAUCAAAUUCCCCCACACUUAGCUUUUGCUAGUCCUUGAGCAAAACAGAACAAACGAAACAAACAAAACAUAACCUAGACCUUCCAACAUUUGCCUCAGGGAUUUUUAAUGAAACAUGACAUGUUCAAAAUCAUCAUUCCCACAGAUUUUGGUCAUCUUUACACUUGAGCACAUACUUAAUCACAGUCACCACUUACUAGUUCACAAUUAACCAAUUAAAAUGAUGUUUUGAAUGUAGUAACAUGCCUUAGAGAAUUCGCUCAAUUUCUUGCAAGAUACUCUCUAUUUUCACACACAUUUUCUGACUACACACCCUACACUAGUAUAUGUGAGAAGAUUAAUGUAAACACGAAAGACUAGGACUCACAUAUGUUAUAACAAAGAAAACAAUUUUCUGGAGUUAUUAUGCAUGUUUAGAUAUGAUCUCAUGAAUGGAAUGCUACUACUUAGAUGUGAGAACCAGUGACGCCAUAUGCUCAUACCAAUUUCGAACUCCACAAAUUGAAACACACAACACUCAAGAUUGAAGUUAAGGGUUGUAACAGGGCUUGGGGGUAAUGGCUAAUAAAGAAAGGAUAGGAAUAACAAACGUUCUUAAAGCGAUAGCAAGCAAACCAAUGAAAUAGACACUUGGAAUUCACUUUAGAAUGUAGAAUCAACUUUUAAAUACAAAGGGAAGAUUCAUGCAACAUUUAGGGCCGAAUUCAAUGUUUUGGACCCUUUUUUAACCAACUUUUUGCUUUUCACUCUUUUUUUUUUCUUUUCUACCCGUGCCUUAUUAAGGACUUUGAUAAAAAAUGAGUUCAUUUUAAGUCAUGCUUUACUAUGCUUCAAGAACAAGGGUAUGGAUGGUCCUAAAACUAGGCUAGGUAAGGAUAGUGUGGAUUAACAAAGAACAUAGGCUUAGUAAGGCUCAACGGGGUUAAACUUAAACACAUAAUGAAAUAGGGGCACGACAAUUUGGCUUUGGUGGUCACUACACAACUUCAUCUUGAAUAUGUGUUAUGCAAAUCAAUAGCAUGCUUUGAAUGAAAUAGGCAUGAAUUCUAGCAUUUGGAACUAAAUGAUGAAACGCCUUCUAAGUAGCAACCAAGCAAAGAAUAAUGAGAUCAUGCAACGACUUUAGAAAACAAUGAUGCACAGAUUAUUAACUCUCCAAAUAAACAUUUAGCCUCAAGUCUCACAAGGUUGUAGCGUUCAUUUGAGUUCCUUCCUUUAAGCAUGUUACAAAAACUGAUUUUUCAUUUAUGAUUGCAUGUGAAUUCAUAAAUUAUAACCACAACCAAGCAUACACCAAAGAGUAAAUCAAAUUUUCAU
rnacentral:lncRNA from 1 species